rnacentral:rRNA from 1 species
UACCAGCACCCCGAGUGGUCGGGACGAUUAUUGGGCCUAAAGCAUCCGUAGCCGGUUCUACAAGUCUUCCGUUAAAUCCACCUGCUCAACAGCUGGGCUGCGGAGGAUACUAUAGAGCUAGGAGGCGGGAGAGGCAAGCGGUACUUAGUGGGUAGGGGUAAAAUCCGUUGAUCCAUUGAAGACCACCAGUGGCGAAGGCGGCUUGCCAGAACGCACUCGACGGU